rnacentral:rRNA from 1 species
UAGAUACCCUAUUAUACUUAAAUAAAACAUUAUCCUUAUCACUAAAAGUUAUUUUCUUAAAAAUAAAAAAAUUUGGCGGUGUUUAAUUUAUUUAGGGGAACCUGUUUUUUAAUCGAUAAACCACGCAGAAUCUUACUUGUUUCAGCAUUUUGUAUACCGUUAUUAUUAGAUAACUUUUAAAGAAUAAGAUAUUAAAAUUUUAGUUUAAAGUAUAUUAGAUCAAGGUGCAGAUAAUAAACAAGAAAAAAUGGGUUACAAUAACUUUGGAUUAUUAUGGAUUAGUAGAUGAAACUGCUGUAAUGAAGGCGGACUUAAUUGUAAUAAAAUUUUAAUAAGUUUUAAUGAUAUAAACACUUAAACAUGUACAUAUCGCCCGUCGCU